GGUAAACCUGAGAAACCCAAAAGAUCGAAUGGGGAGAUUCAUCGUCAGCUCAUUUUGUAUAUGUAUGAGUUAUGAUGUGAGUUACUCNUUGUAGUAUUGCUCGCACGUACUUAUGCAUUUAUUUGCAAGGUGUUGUCGGCGUGCACUUCUCCCCUAGUAGGACGUCGCGACCCGUUGGGUAUCGGUCUACGACCCGAGUNGGUAGACUUNUAAUGUUUUNAUAAUAUUAAAGACCCUUGGUGUUUUCUGACCGGCUGCCCGGCGGUAUUCGUACGGUAUUUAGCCGCAUUUANUNUUGCGUCCAUGUCCAUCGCAAGCGCGGCCAAUUUCUGGUAGUACGGACCUAGUGCCGUCGCUGGAAUUGGCCAG
rnacentral:rRNA from 1 species